rnacentral:misc_RNA from 1 species
CGCGGUGUGUUCGUGUAUCGCCGGGCGAUACCGUCGCGCCACGAUAAGGCAAUCAGAGCGCAGUCCAUUCGCGGAUUGAUGGCGAUGCGCGGGCUGUAUGUGCCGGUUAAUGCGCCGCCGUGGUAUCCGGCGUUCAAGUCGGAACUGCUGAGCUUCCCAGCUGGCAAGCAUGACGAUCAGGUCGAUUUCUUGAGCCUUGUCGGGCAAUUGCUCGAUACGGCCUUCAACGGA